rnacentral:rRNA from 1 species
UACGUAGGGGGCUAGCGUUGUCCGGAAUUAUUGGGCGUAAAGAGCUCGUAGGCGGUUUGUUGCGUCGGCUGUGAAAUCCCGAGGCUCAACCUCGGGUCUGCAGUCGAUACGAGCAAACUAGAGUGUUGCAGGGGAGACUGGAAUUCCUGGUGUAGCGGUGAAAUGCGCAGGAUAUCAGGAGGAACACCGGUGGCGAAGGCGGGUCUCUGGGCAACAACUGACGCUGGAGGAG